UGUCUCCUUUUUCUAAUCAGUGAAACUAAUCUUCCCGUGAAGAAGCGGGAAUACUCCCAUAAGACGAGAAGACCCCAUGGAGCUUCAAACCCAAUUACACCCCUAACCCAUAUAACUAUUUAACCCUUAGGGCCCUGUACCAUUGGUUUUAGGUUGGGGCGACCACGGAGUACAACAAAACCUCCACAAUGAACGGAACUACUCCCUCAUCUAAGAGCUACACCUCUAAGAAUUAAAAUAUUAACAUAAAAUGAUCCAUUUUUUGAUCAAUGAACCAAGUUACCCUGGGGAUAACAGCGCAAUCCAUUUCAAGAGCCCCUAUCGACAAAUGGGUUUACGACCUCGAUGUUGGAUCAGGGUAUCCUAGUGGUGCAGCAGCUACUGAAGGUUCGUUUGUUCAACGAUCAAAACNCU
rnacentral:rRNA from 1 species